UCUUUGUUCUGUUCUUCAACGACGCCAAUCUGUCUUUGCUUCGCCGCCAUUCUUUUUCAAUUGUGUCAGCAGUUAUUCAAAGAAAUUCAUGAGCUGAUGCAGCGAAAUUUUUGUAAGUGAAAACUGAAAUUAACUUACUCUUUCAUCUUGGAUCUCAUCCCGAUCACUUAUCAGGUUAGCCAUUCUUGCUAAUUGUUUUCUCUU